CCUCUGGGUUACUAGACGCUGGAACGGCGCCGUUUUGCUUAGGGGACAAAAUGUUUGGUUUGGUUUGGUUUCACUAGGGCUGGGCAUUUCAUCGGAAACUCCAGCGUAGCUCUCUCCAUCUCCGCAACAGCUCCUUCCAAUCCGUCUUCUCUCCAUUCAGAUUCUGAACAACCGUACGGAAAACCAAAAAUCCCCAAAUUCCAAAACCAAGAAAGUGCUGCCUCAUCCUCAUCCUCCUACUCCAUCUCGUUGAUUUUCUCCAGUUAUAGUUGCAGUCAAGGUUCGUUCUUCAUUCCUUGCUGAAGGUGAUCCAAGUUUUUAGAUUGUCAAAAUAGUCAGCCAAAAGGAAAGAGCAACAAAAGUAAUGGCGACCAAGAUAUGCGUAGUGAUUCGAUCUUUUCAUCACCCAAACCUUUUGUGGGGGCUUCCACCUUCCACACGGAGGAUAGCAUUGCCUGAAUCACGAGUCUUAUAUACUGUGUUGCGAUCACCUCAUAUUGAUAAAAAGUCCAGAGAGCAGUUUGAAAUGGAAAUCAAGAAACAGUAUCUGGUCAUAAAGACACAACCGCAUGAAUUGCAGAAGAAGUUUUUUUGGCUAAAGCGCCAACGUAUAUUUGGAGCUCAAUAUGAACUCCUUUUUUCUUGUAAGACUCGCUUGGAUAAGGAACAACUGCAGAAAUUGCUUUGAAGCAAGAUCCUUGCAUUGACCCUUCCUUGAACUCUACCAGCA